UUAAUUAAAGCCAAAAAGAGGCAUAUUAUUGUUAAUAAUAUCAUUGAAUAGUAUUCUAGUUAAA
rnacentral:tRNA from 1 species